rnacentral:rRNA from 1 species
GUCGAACGAAGCACUUUAUUUGAUUUCCUUCGGGACUGAUUAUUUUGUCACUGAGUGGCGGACGGGUGAGUAACGCGUGGGUAACCUGCCUUGUACAGGGGGAUAACAGUUGGAAACGGCUGCUAAUACCGCAUAAGCGCACAGCAUCGCAUGAUGCAGUGUGAAAAACUCCGGUGGUAUAAGAUGGACCCGCGUUGGAUUAGCUAGUUGGUGAGGUAACGGCCCACCAAGGCGACGAUCCAUAGCCGACCUGAGAGGGUGACCGGCCACAUUGGGACUGAGACACGGCCCAAACUCCUACGGGAGGCAGCAGUGGGGAAUAUUGCACAAUGGGCGAAAGCCUGAUGCAGCGACGCCGCGUGAGCGAAGAAGUAUUUCGGUAUGUAAAGCUCUAUCAGCAGGGAAGAUAAUGACGGUACCUGACUAAGAAGCACCGGCUAAAUACGUGCCAGCAGCCGCGGUAAUACGUAUGGUGCAAGCGUUAUCCGGAUUUACUGGGUGUAAAGGGAGCGCAGGCGGUGCGGCAAGUCUGAUGUGAAAGCCCGGGGCUCAACCCCGGUACUGCAUUGGAAACUGUCGUACUAGAGUGUCGGAGGGGUAAGCGGAAUUCCUAGUGUAGCGGUGAAAUGCGUAGAUAUUAGGAGGAACACCAGUGGCGAAGGCGGCUUACUGGACGAUAACUGACGCUGAGGCUCGAAAGCGUG